ACGCGUGGAAAAUACGUAGGACGUGCCUUUUGAAAUCUUUCUGCCUGCUCGCCCGAUACGAUACAUGUUGUCCUCCGGCGAUUGCGGAAAAUCAAAAUUAAUGACAUAUUGAAUACCGUCGACAUCCAGGCAACGCGCAGCAACAUCUGUGGCCACCAGGAUAUUCGCACGUCCGCUUUGAAAGUUAUGUACAUCGGCGCAGAUUUGUGGAUCCAGAAAGUCAAGCAAUCUGCCCGUUGUUGCAAUUAUAAUUUCGACACCACGCUUUAGGUCGCUGGCUUGACUAGACUGAGAUGCUCCUCAAAAGAUAUAGGUACUGCGUACAAAAGCCCUAGAGCCGAAAUCAUUGGAUACUGUAUCUGCUGGUCCAAUACCUGUGUGGGAGCGAGAACCAGAGCUAUAGGCCCUUUGCCACGUUGCAGCGGCUGCUGUUCAUUAAUAUGCAGGAUAGCAGGCAGAAUAAAAGCGAGCGUCUUUCUUGAUCUAGUUUUGGCUAUACCAACCAAGCUUUGGCCAGAUAGAGCUAUGGGCCUGGCUUGGGCCUGGCUUGUGCCUGGAUUGGCGUGGGCUCGGAGUAUCGCUGACGCCGGAUUUAACUCAUGCUCAUGAAGCACACUUCGUCAACACUGCAAGAUGGCGACAUAAUCGGAGUUUUGUCUCAAGGGUCAAAUAAAAUUAAUCUUUAUGGGACAAAAUUGGGUAUUCCCGGAACGAACUCGAUACAUCGAUACCAAAGACUAUACAAUACCAGGAUGCUGCAUGAGCGUCCAAAAAGCUGUUCUUUGGCGGGGUUUACUGGUAAAUUACAUUCCUUGGACAGAGGGACGUGCCACCGACAGUGAUUCCUGGAAUGGUUCGGUACAAGCUGUAGGACGAUGAGGACAGCGGAAUUAAUUUGCCAACAAGCUUUUUUAUGAUGACAGAAGAUGGCGUUCAUGUGCUUUGUUAAAUCGGAGUUAUUCACAAAUGCAGAAGAGCAAACUCUGGAAAAAAGCAUAAUCCUUUAUUCCCUUGUGCGCCUUUAUAUGUCCCAAGAUGUCAUAUUUCUUUUGGUUUUAUAUUCGUACAGCCUUUCAAAAGUGCAGGUGUACGCAUCAUCAAUCAAUUUGUAGUCUGCUUGGACAUGGACUGCAUCGACAGUUGCUUCAACUUGCUUCCUCAGAAUGUUAGUCCAAAAGGACUCCUCUUCGCCCAGGAAUAUUUCCAAAAUUUCCACUACCAGACGAGUGGAGUGUGGCGCUCAUCGAAAUAGGUUUUUAUCAUCCUACUCAGCUCCACUUGUUUGGUAGGUGAGAGUUUUACCGGUUCAGCGAGAAUGUUCGAGACAGCGCACAGUGGGCAUAGGUUGCUUAAUUAUAAAGUCAAUAAGAGUUCAAUAAAUUAUUUUAU